GAUGAACGCUGGCGGCGUGCCUAAUACAUGCAAGUCGAGCGAACGGACGAGAAGCUUGCUUCUCUGAUGUUAGCGGCGGACGGGUGAGUAACACGUGGAUAACCUACCUAUAAGACUGGGAUAACUUCGGGAAACCGGAGCUAAUACCGGAUGAUAUUUUGAACCGCAUGGUUCAAAAGUGAAAGACGGUCUUGCUGUCACUUAUAGAUGGAUCCGCGCUGCAUUAGCUAGUUGGUAGGGUAACGGCUUACCAAGGCAACGAUGCAUAGCCGACCGGUGAGGGGGAUAGGCGACAUGGGAGGGGAGACACGGACAAGAGGCCUACGGGAGGGAGCAGAAGGGAACCUGCCGCAGUAGGCGAAAGCCUGACGGAGCAACGCCACGUGAGUGAUGACGAUGUUGGGAGCGUAAAACUCGGCUAUGAGGGAAGAACAUAUGUGUAAGUAACUGAGCACAGCUUGACGGUACCGAAUCAGAAAGCCACGGCUAACUACGUG
rnacentral:rRNA from 1 species